UAAAAACUAAAAAAAAAGAUGAAAAAUAUUUAGUAUUGU
rnacentral:sRNA from 1 species